GGCGGACGGGUGAGUAAUGCGUAGGAAUCUGCCCAUGUAGUGGGGGACAACCUGGGGAAACUCAGGCUAAUACCGCAUAAGCCCUACGGGGGAAAGCGGGGGAUCUUCGGACCUCGCGCUAUUGGAUGAGCCUACGUCGGAUUAGCUUGUUGGUAGGGUAAUGGCCUACCAAGGCGACGAUCCGUAGCUGGUCUGAGAGGACGAUCAACCACACUGGGACUGAGACACGGCCCAGACUCCUACGGGAGGCAGCAGUGGGGAAUAUUGGACAAUGGGGGCAACCCUGAUCCAGCAAUGCCGCGUGUGUGAAGAAGGCCUGCGGGUUGUAAAGCACUUUCAGUAGGGAAGAAAAGCCUGGGGUUAAUACCCCCGGGUCUUGACGUUACUUACAGAAGAAGCACCGGCUAACUCCGUGCCAGCAGCCGCGGUAAUACGGAGGGUGCGAGCGUUAAUCGGAAUUACUGGGCGUAAAGCGCGCGUAGGCGGUCAGGUCAGUC
rnacentral:rRNA from 1 species